rnacentral:rRNA from 1 species
GUUAAAAAGCUCGUAGUUGGAUCUCGGCGGUCUGAGGGCGGUUCGCUUGAUUGAGUGCUACUGCUCUAUAGGCCGUGGUUUUGCCAGAGGUCUCGGGGUGCUCUUAACCGAGUGUCCUGCGAUGCUGGCAGGUUUACUUUGAAAAAAUUAGAGUGCUCAAAGCAGGCUUUUACGCCUGAAUAUUCGUGCAUGGAAUAAUAGAAUAGGAAGUCGUUUCUAUUUUGUUGGUUUUCGGAAAUCGACUUAAUGAUUAAUAGGGACAGUCGGGGGCAUUUGUAUUCAAACGACAGAGGUGAAAUUCUUGGACCGUUUGAAGACAAACUACUGCGAAAGCAUUUGCCAAGAAUGUUUUCAUUAAUCAAGAGCGAAAGUUAGAGGUUCGAAGGCGAUUAGAUACCGCCCUAGUUCUAACCAUAAACGAUGCCAGCUAGCGAUCUGCCGACGUUUUCUUUGUAGACUCGGCAGGAAGCUUCCGGGAAACCAAAGCAUUUGGGUUCCAGGGGAAGUAUGGUUGCAAAGCUGAAACUUAAAGGAAUUGACGGAAGGGCACCACCAGGAGUGGAGCCUGUGGCUUAAUUUGACUCAACACGGGAAAUCUCACCAGGCCCGGACACUGGAAGGAUUGACAGAUUGAUAGCUCUUUCUUGAUUCGGUGGGUGGUGGUGCAUGGCCGUUCUUAGUUGGUGGAGUGAUUUGUCUGGUUAAUUCCGAUAACGAACGAGACUCUGUCCUGCUAAAUAGUGUCCGCCUCUCUUUUGGGCAGACAAUUCUUCUUAGAGGGACUGGCAACUCUCAGUUGCACGAAAAAGAGCAAUAACAGGUCUGUGAUGCCCUUAGAUGUUCUGGGCCGCACACGCGCUACACUGAAUAGAUCAACGUG